AUGGCUGUCAGCAGCUGCACAAACAAGAGAAGCCUUCCUUGAGUGUUCAGAAGUAAAGAGAAAAAUCAAGCAGAACCAGGACGAUCCAAAGCUAAAGCAGGACAAUCCGUGAGUUCCAAACAGGAGCGAUCUGUCACUGAAAUGGAUGAUGAUGAUGAUGAUGAUGAUGAU